UAAGACGUUGAGACGUGUUGUGGCAGGGGGACAAUUGCCAAAUACCCUUUCAGAAAGGGUAUUUGGCAAUUGUCCCCCUGCCACAACACGUCUCAACGUCUUUAGUUU